AUUGCAUGAUUGAAGGUGGUUGCUAAGGAAUAUGACUGAACUUCUCUCCAUGGCCAUGGCCAUGGCUGUUGAUGAUGACAUGAAAGAUGACAGUGAUUCUCCGCUUGACCUCAUUUCUAUAGAUAGCAACAAGAGUGGAGAUGUGCUUUCACCUGAGGAUGUAGCAUGGGCUGACUCAUGCCUCAUUAAUGAUCUUGCUAUAUUGGACCACGGCAUGGAUUCUUUGAAGCAUGUCUUACUGGACACUUUUCCUUCCCAAGCAAUCUUUUCUGCAGUGGUAAGGGAUGACUCUCCUCAAGACUCUCGUAUUGUCCCCUCUAUUGAAGAGACAGAAAUUUCAGGAAUUUUAGAUGACUCGAUUUAUGAUUUUUCUCCAAUUAAUGAACAAGAAGGGGACACUACUCGUCAUCUGAUUAAUAACAAAGAUCCAGAUAUUUUUUGGUCCAGAAUUAACUUAGAAAAUGUUUUUUCUUCCACCUAUAACGAGAACAUGAGAGUAGUUGAACCCUCCGAUUCUGAAGUAGAUUCAGAGUUUUCAACAUUUGUUGAAGAAAAUUUGGAUGACG
rnacentral:misc_RNA from 1 species